rnacentral:rRNA from 2 species
GGAGGCGCUGGUGGGAUACCGCCCUGACUGUAUUGAAAUUCUAACCUACGGGUCUUAUCGACCCGGGAGACAGUGUCAGGUGGGCAGUUUGACUGGGGCGGUCGCCUCCUAAAGUGUAACGGAGGCGCCCAAAGGUUCCCUCAGAAUGGUUGGAAAUCAUUCGUAGAGUGCAAAGGCAUAAGGGAGCUUGACUGCGAGACCUACAAGUCGAGCAGGGACGAAAGUCGGGCUUAGUGAUCCGGUGGUUCCGCAUGGAAGGGCCAUCGCUCAACGGAUAAAAGCUACCCCGGGGAUAACAGGCUUAUCUCCCCCAAGAGUCCACAUCGACGGGGAGGUUUGGCACCUCGAUGUCGGCUCAUCGCAUCCUGGGGCUGUAGUCGGUCCCAAGGGUUGGGCUGUUCGCCCAUUAAAGCGGUACGCGAGCUGGGUUCAGAACGUCGUGAGACAGUUCGGUCCCUAUCCGUCGUGGGCGUAGGAAAUUUGAGAGGAGCUGUCCUUAGUACGAGAGGACCGGGAUGGACGCACCGCUGGUGUACCAGUUGUUCUGCCAAGGGCAUAGCUGGGUAGCUAUGUGCGGAAGGGAUAAGUGCUGAAAGCAUCUAAGCAUGAAGCCCCCCUCAAGAUGAGAUUUCCCAUAGCGUAAGCUAGUAAGAUCCCUGAAAGAUGAUCAGGUUGAUAGGUUCGAGGUGGAAGCAUGGUGACAUGUGGAGCUGACGAAUACUAAUAGAUCGAGGACUUAACCAUAUAA